rnacentral:rRNA from 1 species
GAUGAACGCUGGCGGCGUGCCUAAUACAUGCAAGUCGAGCGCACGGACGAGAAGCUUGCAUCUCUGAUGUUAGCGGCGGACGGGUGAGUAACACGUGGAUAACCUCCCUAUAAGACUGCGAUAACUUCGGGAAACCGGAGCUAAUACCGGAAAAUAUUUUCAACCGCAUGGUUCACAAGUGAAAGACGGUCUUGCUGUCACUUAUCGCUGGAUCCGCGCUGCAUGAGCUAGUUGGUAAGGUAACGGCUUACCAAGGCAACGAUGGAUAGCCGACCUGAGAGGGUGGUCGGCCACACGGGAAGUGAGACACGGUCCAGACUCCGACGCGAGGCAGCAGUAGAGAAUCUUCCGCAAGGGGGGAAAGCCUGACGGAGCAAAGCGGCGGGAAUGAUGAAGGUGUUCGGAUCGGAAAACUAUGUUAGUAGUGGAGAACAAAUGUGUAAGUGACUGGGCACAUCUUGACGGUACCGAGACAGAAAGCCACGGCUAACUACGUG